rnacentral:rRNA from 1 species
CAACAGGGAUUGCCCUAGUAACGGCGAGUGAAGCGGCAAUAGCUCAAAUUUGAAAUCUGGUCUCCUUUGGGGGCCCGAGUUGUAAUUUGCAGAGGGCGCUUUGGCGUUGACAGCGGUCUAAGUUCCUUGGAACAGGACGUCACAGAGGGUGAGAAUCCCGUACGUGGUCGCCUGUCUUCGCCGUGUAAAGCCCCUUCGACGAGUCGAGUUGUUUGGGAAUGCAGCUCUAAAUGGGAGGUAAAUUUCUUCUAAAGCUAAAUACUGGCCAGAGACCGAUAGCGCACAAGUAGAGUGAUCGAAAGAUGAAAAGCACUUUGGAAAGAGAGUCAAACAGCACGUGAAAUUGUUGAAAGGGAAGCGCUUGCAGCCAGACGUGCCCGUGGUGGUUCUCCUCCGCGGGCAGGCCAGCAUCAGUUCGGGCGGUCGGAUAAAGGCCUCUGUCACGUAUCUACCUUCGGGUUGACCUUAUAGGGGAGGCGUAAUGCGAUCAGCUCGGACUGAGGUCCGCGCAUCUGCUAGGAUGCUGGCGUAAUGGCUGUAAGCGGCCCGUCUUGAAACACGGACCAAGGAGUCUAACAUCUAUGCGAGUGUUUGGGUGUCAAGCCCGGGCGCGCAAUGAAAGUGAACGGAGGUGGGAACCCUUUCUUGGGGUGCACCAUCGACCGAUCCUGAAGUCUUCGGAUGGAUUUGAGUAAGAGCAUAGCUGUUGGGACCCGAAAGAUGGUGAACUAUGCUUGAAUAGGGUGAAGCCAGAGGAAACUCUGGUGGAGGCUCGCAGCGGUUCUGACGUGCAAAUCGAUCGUCAAAUUUGGGCAUAGGGGCGAAAGACUAAUCGAAC